CAAAAUGCUUACUGUUCCCUCCCUCCCUCUCCUCUUGCUCUAGGCUGCUGGCCCAGGUGCUUGUCCUUAGACCUCGGACUCCUUACCUCCCAGCUGAGUUGGACAUCCUGUCAACCCAGCUCUGCCAUCUGGGGGCUGGGGGGUGAGGCCAGGACGAGAUGUCAUUUGCAAAGGAGGCAGAGCCCAGAUCCAGGAUGCUUUGGCACCAAGGACUGUUUGGGAAGGUAAUCCAGAUGCUGCAACGUUUCAGGGAUCUGAGGCUGGCCACUGAGACCUGCUUUAGGUGGAGACAGCCUUGGUGUCUCUGGCAGCAAACUACGUCUCGUGCAUCUGGGGCUGCCUGCAGGCACCUUUGGGCCAAGCAUCUGACCCAUCACCCACCUGAAUGGACCCUUGGCCCUUCCUCUACACGUGGACCAGGUCUAGGGAAUGAUGAACAUCUCAAGUUUCCCUGGAUCUUCUGUCAAGCAGGUGAUGGUGCUGCAGGCUCCAGCGUGAGCAGCACUGCUCUCCAGUCCGGAGCAUCUUCCUGGUGAUUGGCUGGGAAGCAAAACCACGUUGCCAUCCGAUCUCAUCACACUUCUGCCAGGAGGUGAAAUGGAAGAGCCCACGUUCUUGAUCUUCUCAGGUCACUUACCUGAGAACCACUGAGUUUUCUGAGGGGACACUCAGCUUAGCUGCGUGCCGGAUUCCUCUGUGGAGAAGGACACACACAGAGCUGCAAGUUCUGAAUCGUGUGUGGCCAGACCCAGACACCAAGAUAGUUAACCAGCUCCUGAGGGCUGGCUUCUCACAAUGUGGUCCCGAGGCUGCCUACAUGCAGUCACCUGGGCCCUUGUUUAAAAACGCACAUUCCUUGGUCCCACCCAGGCUCACUAAAUAGACAGGUAUAGAUUUUUAACAAGUGACUUUAACCACAGGUCUCUCGGCAGCUUGAACAUGUUUGCAUUUGAGAACUGCUGUACGAAUGAUGUCCAAGUACCAGGACACUCGGGAAGCCACUGCUGUACAACAAUUAAGGCUGAAUUCCCAUCCUGCAGACCCUAGAUUUUUUUUUCCUCACUCAACUAUGCCUUCUUCAGCCACCGAGGAAGUGUUGGCCAACAGAACACAAAGAAGCAAAGAAAGUAGAAAAGCAAUGUAACUUGAGGCCACAUUGAGUCUGAAGCCGAGAAAUUGUGAUGGAAAAACACCAGGGCUCCCCACCUGGCAUGUGACAAGGCUUUGGAGGGCGAAGGGGAGUCUGUGAGAACCUUCGGAAAACUGCCUACACCACCCAGUUCUUUGACGAAGGGGAUAGUGGUAGCUGGCAGCCUCCUCUGGGAGAGGAAGUCACAGCUGCUUCCAGACCUGUGUGGCUUUGAACUCUGCCCGCAGGCUGGGGGCAGGACUAUGUGAGCAGAGAGAUUGGGAACAUGGAUCUCAGAAGUCAGAAGCCCUGGCCCUGGCCUCAGCGGCAAGUUCUGACCUCUAGGGAGCAGAGGGUCACAGUCCGCCUGUCUGAGUAGUGCUUCGGGACCCUUUGCCCCCAUGUCCCUGUCCCUGGGGUCAGCGUGUGAGUCGCUGAGAGCCAGUGCAGAGCGUUCUCUAGGAACCUGGCUGGCCGGACAAUAGUCACUCUGUGCCUGUGUUUGCUGGCACCCAGGCAGCUAACCCAGAAACGGCCCUUGUGCCCUUUGGGGCAGGCAAAUUUAAAAGCUCUCCUUUCAACUUCAGCCUGACACCUCAUAGGCUGAGAAGAUGUACUGUCCUCCCCCAAAGUGCAGUUUUUCCAUUCUCUUUGACCAUCAGGACUUCAGAGAGUCUCUUUUUUUUUUUCCUGCUUCAGCUGAUGGUCCCUUGGAGAAUUCAUAUGGCUUCAGAAGAAUUCUCCCAGGAACUCUUGAGUCCGGGGAAACCCAAGUCCACCCAGCGAUUCGCACGGGGAGUGCUCCAAGUGUCCUUCUCUCACCCCCAGGACAGCUAGAGGUCAAACAGCCAUCCCAGAGGGCCAGAAGCUGGAGACAUUCUUAAAAUGUGUUUUUACAUUCAUUUCAUUAUACUCAAUAUCAUUUCGAAAACAAAGGCAGCUGACUGAAAUGCACACAGUGUAUCUCAAUAAGAGGAGUAAAAGCAAAAGUAAAAUGAAGGGAAACAGACAAAACCAGGUUCAUGCAUACAUUUCCUAGUAUACUUACUGAAGACAGUGAAUAGAUUGGUUCUGAGCUUUCUAGCGAGGGGAAAAACAAUCAGUCUUAAAAGUGACCCAGAUAGCCUCAGUUUUUUUACCCUUUCCUUUGUUAAAAAUAACCUACUAUUUACUGAGCUUCUACAGGCCAGGCUCUGUCCUAGGCACUGAGGUAGAGCCAUAGGAACAAAGUUAAGUCCCUGACUUCAGGGAGCUUCCUUGCCAAUUGAGAGAAAUAAACAAUAUGCAAGGGAACAAUGAAAUAUAUGAUGAUCAUAUGUCAGGUGGUGCUAAGUGCUGAAAGAAAAAUGAAACAGCGUAUAGGCAUCUUUCUAUUUUAGAUAGACCAGUUAGGGAUGUCCUCUUGGGGAGUGAUGUUGGAGCAGCAGCCUGAAGAGGGAGGAAGUGAGGCACGUGGAUGUGGGGGUAGGGUGUUUUAGACACAGAGGGCAGCAUGUGCAAAGGCCCUGAGGCUCGGGUGAAGUUAGUGUGUCUGAGGAAUUUCCCAGAAGUCAGCAGGGCUGGAGCACAGUGAGGGGGGCAGUGGGGAAAUGGGUAGGACGUGCACAGUGCCCUUGGGAGUUGUGCAGCCUGGCAGCCCUGGGAGGAGAUGAGGGCAGAAGGCAAAUGAGAACUUCCAGGCCACGUGAGGACUGUGACUCUCACUCUGAGGGAAGUGGGCAGCACAUGAGAGUGUUGAGCAGAGUGGUGAUAGGGUUCUAAAACAUCACUCUGGCUGCUGUGUGAAAAAUAGGUUGUAGAGGGGUGUUUUGCAGAUUGGCCAGGACUGCCACAACAAAAUACCACAGACGGGGUAGCUGAAACAACAGAGACUUAUUUUCUCACCGUUUUGGAGGCUGGAAGUCCACAGUUAAGAUGUCAACAGGAGUAGUUGCUUCUGAGGUCUCUCUCCUUGGCGUGCAGAGGACUGUCUUCUCCGUGUGUCCUCAGGGGGUCUUCUCUCUGCAGCCAUGAAGCCCUGGUCUCUCUGUGGGUCCUCAUUUCCUUCUCUUGUAAGGACACCAAUCAGGUUUCUAUUUUAGUUAGACUGGUUAGGGACGUCCUCUUGGGGAGUGAUUAGGUCUACCUAAUGGUCUCAUUUUAACUUAAUUCCCUCUUUCAAGGCAGAUCUCCAAAUGUAGCCACAUUCUGAGAUCCUGGGGGUUAACGCUUCAACACAUGAAUAUGGAGGGAACCCAGUUUAGCUCCUAACGGGGCAAGGAUAGAAUUGGAGAGACCAAUUAGAGGGCUGGCAAAAGAUGAUGGUGGCCUGGACCAGAGUGACAGAUGUGACAGUGUAAGAAGUCACCGUAUUCCACAAAUAUCUUAGAGGUAGUGGAGGAUUCAUUGAAGGAUUGGAUGGAAGCUGUGAUGAAGGACAAGAGUCAAGGAUGGCUGUGAAUUCUUUGGCCUGGGUGUCUGGAAGCACCGGGUUGGCAUUUAUUGAGACGGAGAAAACUUUGGGAGGAGCAAAUUUUGGGAGAUGCUGAGAAUUCAGUUUGGGACAUGUUAAGUCUGAGAUGUCUAUUAGGCAUCCAAGCAGAAAUGUCAAGGAGACAGUAGGAUGUGCCAGGCUGGAGUUUAGGGGAGAGGUCUGGUUUACUGACUUAAAAUUGUUUUUUCUCAGUUCUAUGGUUUGGUUUUUUUAAUAACAGCAUUAUUGAGAGGGAAUUCACAUAUCAUAAAAUUCACCCUUCUGAAGUUUACACAUUGGUGGAUUUUUGUAUAUGCACGAGAUUGUGCGACCAUUACUACAAUUUAAUUUCAGAACAUUUCAUCACCCUCAGAAGAAACCUCCUAAUCCACUAGCAGUCACUCCCAUUUUUCUGCCCACUCGGCCCUCGGCAAUCACUCAUCUACUUCUUCUCUCUGUGGAUCUGCCUAUUCAGGACAUUUCAUAACAAUGGAAUCACAUAAUAGGUGGCCUUUGAUGUCUGGCUUCUUUCACUGAACAUGUUUUCAAAGUCCCAUCCAUGAGUACCAGCCCUUCAUCCUCUACUAUGGCUAAAUAGUAUUCCAUCGUAUAGGUACAUCAUACUUUGUUCACAUUCAUCAGUUGAUUGAUAACUGGGUUGUUUGCAUUUUUCUGGCUAUUAUGAAUAAUACUGUUAUGAAAAUUUAUGUACAAGGUUUUGUGUGAACACAUGUUUUCAGUUCUCUUGAGUAUUUACUUAGGAGUGGAAUGCUAGGUCAUAGGGUAACUCUGCUUAAUUUUUUGAGGAAUUUUAAAACUGUUUUAUAAAGCAGCUGCACCAUUUUACAUUCGAAUCAGCAAAUGUAUGAGGAUUCCAAUUUCUCCAGAUAGUCACUAACCCUUGUUGUUGUCUGUCUCUUUUAUUAUUGCCAUCCUAGUGGGCGUGAAGUGGUAUCUCAUUGAGUUUUGAUUUGCAUUUCCCAGAAGACUAAUGGCGUGGAGCAUUUUUCAUAUGCUUUUGGCCACUCGUGUCUCAUUUUUAGAAAAAUAUCUAUUCGAAUUCUUUGUCCAUUUUUAAUUGGGUUAUUUGUCCUUUUAUUUUUGGGUUCUAAGAAUUCCUCAUAUAUUUCUGGAUACAAAUCUCUCUCUAAAGUAUGAUUUACAAAUAUUUUCCUCUAGUCAGUUGGGUUGUCUCUUUCUUCCUUCCUUCCUUCCUUUCUUUCUUUCUU